CCCAAAAGAGUGCUAUUUGCUUCCAUGGGCAAAAGUGGAACUUGAAUCUGCUAAGGAUGAAUCUGCCGAAUUAGGGCAUUCUUCGCGAGUUCGCGUAGUGCAGAACAGCAGAACCCGAAGACUGAACCCCAAGUACGGCCCCGCGUGGCAGCACUCCCUUGCUCUCGCCCUACAGAACUGUUCUCUCCGUUCAGAAGUUCUAGAUAUCAGAAAAUGUCGGGCGGGUUCUUCCGAGGUACGUCUGCGGACCAAGACACUCGGUUUUCUAACAAGCAGGCGAAACUGCUGAAAUCUCAGAAGUUCGCACCUGAACUGGACCACCUGGUCGAUAUGACUAAGGUGAAUAUGGACGUAAUAAAGCCGUGGAUCACGAUCAGGGUGACUGAACUUCUUGGGUUCGAGGAUGAGGUGCUCAUCAACUUCAUUCACAGUCUUCUGGAUGCGAAGGAAGUUAAUGGGAAGGAGGUUCAAAUACAAAUUACUGGAUUUAUGGAGAAGAACACUGGAAAGUUUAUGAAAGAGCUUUGGUCACUUCUUCUCAGUGCACAGAAAAAUACCAGUGGGGUUCCACAGCAGUUCUUGGAUGCCAAAGAAGAAGAACUCAGGAAGAAGAAGGUUGAAAAUGAUAAAAUAGCAAGUGAACUUCAUAAGAAAAGAGAUAAAGAAGGUAGAGAGUUCUUUCAAGAGAGGGUGAAGAAGAUGGACGGUGGAUUUGAUGCCAAGGAUACUGAUACUGCAUCAGACCAAGUCUUGAAGCCCAGGGAUUCAGUAGAUCAUGUUCAAGAUGGAAAAGAAACUGACAAAAGAAAUGGUGUGAGAUCAAGGAGCAGGUAUUCUAGAUCUCCCCACUCACCAGCAAUCUCCGUGUCACCUAACCGAGACUCACCUUCUAGGUCAAUGAGUAGAUCAUUUUCAAAUUCCCGAAGCUAUUCAGGUGACAGACAAAGGUCAAGAAGUACAUCCAGGUUGCCAGAAGCACGUGGACGCUCCAUUUCUUCUGAAAGGAUUCGUCAUUCACCACGAAGACCAUCUAUCUCUCCUCCUCGGAGGCAUUCACCAUGGCGAUCUCCUCAUAGAAGGUCAUCUUAUUCUAGGCGGAGAUCUAGAUCUCGCUCACAUUACAGAUCACCAUCUUUGCGACACAGAGUGCGUUCUCCAUUUCGGCGUAGGUCACCCUCUCCUACAAGAAGACGCAGAUCACCCUCUCCUACAAGAAGACGCAGAUCACCCUCUCCUGUGAGAAGACGUAGAUCACCCUCUCCUUUGAGAUCACCCUCUCCUGUAAGAAGGCGCAGAUCACCCUCUCCUGUAAGAAGGCGCAGAUCUCCUUCUCCUGUGAGAAGGCGCAGAUCACCUUCUCCUGUGAGAAGACGCAGAUCUCCCUCUCCACUGCGUCAUCGCAGAUCACCAUCACCCAUACAACGACGAAGGUCACCUUCUCCUAUACGCAAAAUGUCACCAAGACCUGUACAUCGAAGACCCUCUCCCAUCCCAUCCCCCUCUCCUGUACGAAAAAGGUAUAGAAGUAGAACCCCACAACGCAGGUCUCCAUCUCCUGUGAUGCGUAGAUCUGUUUCUGAUCGUAAAUGGUCUCCAAGUCCUUCCCCGAGGAGGUCUCUUUCUUCAGGUGAAUGGAGUUCCAAGUCUCCUACACGAAAUGUAUCUCCAUCACCAGUGAGGAGAAAUGCUCCAAGACAAGCAAGAAGUCCUGUGCAGUCUUCUGAAGGAAGAGUCAGAACACAAGACAGAUUGUUGCCAGUUGCUCGUCGCUCCUCAAGUCCUGUUAGGAAUGUUCAGAGAGAUAAGGAUCACAACUUAUUACAUUAUAAAUCACAAGGGUCAUUAUCUACGCCUGAGAAGUCUCCAACCAGGUCAGUGUCUCCGCAAGCAAGGAAUAAGAUUGUCAGUGAAGACAGUAGUCCACAUGAGAGCCCUUGGAAGCAAAGAGGGGUGAUGUUGACCCAAAAGAAAAGUUUGAGCCCUCCUCAGAAAUCAAGAAUCCUGAAGUCUAGGCAUGACAGCCCAGAAACAAGUGAAGGAGCAGAAGAAACAUACUUUUCUAGAGAGAGCAGGGAUCACAAAACGAGGUCUUCACAAAGGAAAAUGAAAUAUUUGUCCCCUGACAGUAAGCGGAAAGUUUCAUCUGCAAAGACUCAUACUGAGGAUAUAUUAUCUCCUGAAAGGACAGCUGGGCAUCUGGGUUCUGAAUCUCGGGGACGUAAUGAUAAUAUUGAUUUGAGCAAGAAAGGCCAGGAAAUAAAGAGUGAUAAAUCUUCUGGAAGGGGUGCUGGAACUCCUACUCAACGUAAGUCAUCAAUGUAUAAGGAAUCUUUUUCUGGUGAGAAGCUUAUUGAAUCAUAUGAUGCGGAUAGCAAGAAGUCUGGUGAGAAGAAUCACUCACAUUCAAGUUUUGCCAAGGGCAGUGAUCAGCAUGGCAAAUUGGAAGUUGCUCAGGCUAAACAGAGUGCUUCAUGUGAUUCUGGUUCUGAGGAAAGCAGUAGGCAUAGAAGAGAAGGAAAGGAUAAGAGAAAGCACAAGAGAUCUGAACGAAAGGUUGCUUCAGAUGAAGAAUCCAGCUAUGAUUCUGAGUUAGAGAACAGGAAAGAGGCUAAGAGAAGGAAAAAGGAGGAGAGGAAACUGCGGAAGGAGGAGAGGCGUCGAAGACGUGAAGAGAGAAGACGUAGAAAGGAAGAGCGGCGUGCAGAGAAGCUGAAAAUGAAAAGUAAAGCAGAGGACUAUACUUCAGAUGAUGAGGAAGCUGAAAGAAUGGAUUUUCAUCGAAGUGAUAAUGAAGAGACACCAUCUGACCAGAAGAAGCUUGAGAUUGAAUUGCGAAAUAAGGCUCUCGAAUCACUUAAAGCAAAGAAGGGCUUGAAUCACUAAAUAUGUUGCUUUUGAUUUUGAAGAAGUUAUAUCCUUUAAGACCUUGUGGCCAAUUUUCUGUCAUCUUCUUUAGGAACCUUGUGGCUUUUCAAAUGUAUCUGUUCUCUUAUUAAUUGGUAAUUGUUUGAUGUAGUCUACCUUUACUGCUGGCAGCGGAAAUGGAUAAAUGAGGAUUUCUGAGCAAAUCUGUUGAGUGCGAUAUUGCCCAAUUUUUACUGAUGAAUUUAAUGUCAACUCUAGAUGAUUUGGUGAGCAGAUCAUGUGCAGAUUUACAUUUUGAACUUCCAUUCAGGCAGUCCUUUCUCCCUGUAUAGUGUUCAAAGCUCCAUGUGAGGUUGACAGUGUCCUGGACUGUUUCCUGGAAUUCUACAUGGUGCUAUGAUUCUUGGACCCAUUCUGGGGUUGAUGUAUUUGUAAGAUUUACCUAGAUGUGUUGUCAUGCAUAUACUUAUUUUUGUUUAUGUAAAUAUGUUUACAUCAUUGUAGCAUUUUGGGUGUUCUUUUUGCUUCUUGAUAA